UGGGGAAUAUUGCACAAUGGGCGCAAGCCUGAUGCAGCCAUGCCGCGUGUGUGAAGAAGGCCUUCGGGUUGUAAAGUACUUUCAGCGGGGAGGAAGGCGUUAAGGUUAAUAACCUUGGCGAUUGACGUUACCCGCAGAAGAAGCACCGGCUAACUCCGUGCCAGCAGCCGCGGUAAUACGGAGGGUGCAAGCGUUAAUCGGAAUUACUGGGCGUAAAGCGCACGCAGGCGGUCUGUCAAGUCGGAUGUGAAAUCCCCGGGCUCAACCUGAGAACUGCAUUCGAAUCUGGCAGGCUAGCGGCUUGUAGAGGGGGAUAGAAUUCCAGGUGUAGCGGUGAAAUGCGUAGAGAUCUGGGAGAAUACCGGUGGCGAAGGCGGCCCCCUGGACAAAGACUGACGCUCAGGUGCGAAAGCGUGGGGAGCAAACAGG
rnacentral:rRNA from 1 species